rnacentral:rRNA from 1 species
GACGAACGCUGGCGGCGUGCUUAACACAUGCAAGUCGAACGGAAAGGCCCUGCUUUUGUGGAGUGCUCGAGUGGCGAAAGGGUGAGUAACACGUGAGUAACCUGCCCUUGACUUUGGGAUAACUUCAGGAAACUGGGGCUAAUACCGGAUAGGAGCUCCUGCUGCAUGGUGGGGGUUGGAAAGUUUCGGCGGUUGGGGAUGGACUCGCGGCUUAUCAGCUUGUUGGUGGGGUAGUGGCUUACCAAGGCUUUGACGGGUAGCCGGCCUGAGAGGGUGACCGGCCACAUUGGGACUGAGAUACGGCCCAGACUCCUACGGGAGGCAGCAGUGGGGAAUAUUGCACAAUGGGCGGAAGCCUGAUGCAGCAACGCCGCGUGCGGGAUGACGGCCUUCGGGUUGUAAACCGCUUUCGCCUGUGACGAAGCGUGAGUGACGGUAAUGGGUAAAGAAGCACCGGCUAACUACGUG